UGGGGAAUAUUGGACAAUGGGCGAAAGCCUGAUCCAGCCAUGCCGCGUGUGUGAAGAAGGUCUUCGGAUUGUAAAGCACUUUAAGUUGGGAGGAAGGGCAGUAAGCGAAUACCUUGCUGUUUUGACGUUACCGACAGAAUAAGCACCGGCUAACUCUGUGCCAGCAGCCGCGGUAAUACAGAGGGUGCAAGCGUUAAUCGGAAUUACUGGGCGUAAAGCGCGCGUAGGUGGUUCGUUAAGUUGAAUGUGAAAGCCCCGGGCUCAACCUGGGAACUGCAUCCAAAACUGGCGAGCUAGAGUAGGGCAGAGGGUGGUGGAAUUUCCUGUGUAGCGGUGAAAUGCGUAGAUAUAGGGAGGAACACCAGUGGCGAAGGCGACCACCUGGGCUCAUACUGACACUGAGGUGCGAAAGAGUGGGGGGCAAACAGG
rnacentral:rRNA from 1 species